ensembl:lncRNA
GAGAAGAGCAGAAGAAAAAGGAGAGGGUGAAGGUAAGGAAGACGCGCAGACGAGAAGAGCAGAAAGGGAGAUGAGCGGAUAGAGGUAAGGCAGAAAGGCACAAGUGGAGAGGAGCUGAAGAGGAGUCAGGGAGAAGAGCUGCAGGUUGGAUGGUGGCUGAGGAAAGGGAAGCAGCCAAGAGGGAAGAGCAGCAAAGACAGUGCUGUGUGUUCUGCCCCAAGCUCCGUUUGGAAGCCAGGAGAAAGGUCCACGCUGUCAGGUUACAGAUGGGACGGGAAGGAUGUUUGGGUCUGACCAAUGGAACCAUGGCAAGCCUGGGGGAAAGGGGCUGAGCCCAACGGUCACAGAAGCCCGUUGGGGGAGGGGCUCCCUAACUGCCACUCUCCAGCUGUCAUGGCAGAGAGAAUCCCUCGAGGAGCGCUGACGGUGCCUGUGACGCCUGACGCCACUUUCCCCCAACCCACUGUGCCGCCACCGGACCCCGCCUGGAUGCAGCCCACCAUCCGCGGACCGAUGCCGGUACCGGCACUGCAGCAGCACGUGCUCCCCGUGCCCUGCACCCUGCCCGACACCUGGGAGCCGCCCAUGGAGCCCUUGCAAGACGCCGUGCUGCUCAUGGAGGACCAGGGGCACCCAGCGCCCACCCACGCCUGCCCCCAUCCCGACACGGCUCCGCUCACCUGCAGCGCUGCCACAAUCAGGCCGACAUCAGGCCGUGAGUUCAGGGGCUGCACAGCACCCGGCUGCCUGUGGGAAAGCUGCCGGCAUUGCCCCACUGGGGAUCUUCUGGCUUUUUCCAAGCACGGACACAAGCCGCAGGCACCCCGCAGGACACCGCAGACAUGGAUCAUCUGCUGGCAUGGAUCGACCACGAAGUCACAUCCCAGACGGCCAUCCUGGACGACAGUAACGACUUUGACCAGCUGCUGACGUGGAUCAGCCAGGGUGAGUUUGGGGGCAGCAGAGCUGCUGGGGGGCUGUCUGCACCGAGUGGCUGAGUGGGAAAGCUGGCACUGCCCCACACAAAUGGGAUUUUCUUCCUUCCUUUUCCAGAAGAGACACCCAGGAGCAACAGACGAGAGGACGACGAGGAAAAUGGACAGUUUCCUCACGUGCAUUCUUGGUGAGUUUGUGGCUACAGAGGUGAUUGACGGGUGCUGUCUGCACCCAGCAGCGUGUGGAAGGCUGCCAUCAUCCUGCUCUGGGGAUGCUCUUGCUUUUCAGAAGCGACGAGUGCUCUGGAGGUCCCCCAGCACAACCAGGGCCUGCCUGCAGUCAAAAGAGAGGGGACCAGAGAGAACGAGAACAGCACAGAGCACCCUGACUCCCCGGGGGGCCAGCAGGGAGCUCAGCAAAGAGCGACCAAUCCUGAGUCAGGCUCCUGGCAAACCCGCCUCUGGCCGCAGCCAGCAUCCCUGAGCUGCCUGAGCCGACCCCCCUGGCUGCCCCCGCACCUCCGUCGCCCCGCACCGCACAUCUGAUGGAAGAGGCGCGGCGGAGGCAGCCCCGGGUGCAUCUCAGACGCCUGGCACUGCCACCCGGGUGCAUCUCCUGCCGGCUGGCAGACAAGGACAAGCAGCACGGGGACAGCAGCCAGCCGGCCAAGCACCCCGUGCCUCCUCUGAUGCAAACUGGACAGCUCAUGGAGGAGGCACGGCGAAGGCAGCCCCGAGUGCUUCUCACCCGCCUGGCACUGCCCACCCCCCUGGCUGCCCCCGCACCUCCGUCGCCCUGCACUGCACACCUGAUGGAGGAGGCACGGCGGAGGCAGCCCCGGGUGCUGCUCAGCCGCCUUUGACUGCCACCCGGCUGCAUCUCCUGACAAAUGGCACACAAGCAGCACGGGGACAGCAGCCAGCCGGCCAAGUGCCCAGCACCCACCUGCACCACCACAAGAGGCCAGAGCAGCGCGCACAAGCAGCACACUGGC